rnacentral:rRNA from 1 species
CCUGGCUCAGGAUGAACGCUAGCUACAGGCUUAACACAUGCAAGUCGAGGGGCAGCAUGGUCUUAGCUUGCUAAGACUGAUGGCGACCGGCGCACGGGUGAGUAACACGUAUCCAACCUGCCGUCUACUCUUGGACAGCCUUCUGAAAGGAAGAUUAAUACAAGAUGGCAUCAUGAGUCCGCAUGUUCACAUGAUUAAAGGUAUUCCGGUAGACGAUGGGGAUGCGUUCCAUUAGAUAGUAGGCGGGGUAACGGCCCACCUAGUCUUCGAUGGAUAGGGGUUCUGAGAGGAAGGUCCCCCACAUUGGAACUGAGACACGGUCCAAACUCCUACGGGAGGCAGCAGUGAGGAAUAUUGGUCAAUGGGCGAGAGCCUGAACCAGCCAAGUAGCGUGAAGGAUGACUGCCCUAUGGGUUGUAAACUUCUUUUAUAAAGGAAUAAAGUCGGGUAUGGAUACCCGUUUGCAUGUACUUUAUGAAUAAGGAUCGGCUAACUCCGUGCCAGCAGCCGCGGUAAUACGGAGGAUCCGAGCGUUAUCCGGAUUUAUUGGGUUUAAAGGGAGCGUAGAUGGAUGUUUAAGUCAGUUGUGAAAGUUUGCGGCUCAACCGUAAAAUUGCAGUUGAUACUGGAUAUCUUGAGUGCAGUUGAGGCAGGCGGAAUUCGUGGUGUAGCGGUGAAAUGCUUAGAUAUCACGAAGAACUCCGAUUGCGAAGGCAGCCUGCUAAGCUGCAACUGACAUUGAGGCUCGAAAGUGUGGGUAUCAAACAGGAUUAGAUACCCUGGUAGUCCACACGGUAAACGAUGAAUACUCGCUGUUUGCGAUAUACUGCAAGCGGCCAAGCGAAAGCGUUAAGUAUUCCACCUGGGGAGUACGCCGGCAACGGUGAAACUCAAAGGAAUUGACGGGGGCCCGCACAAGCGGAGGAACAUGUGGUUUAAUUCGAUGAUACGCGAGGAACCUUACCCGGGCUUAAAUUGCAGAUGAAUUACGGUGAAAGCCGUAAGCCGCAAGGCAUCUGUGAAGGUGCUGCAUGGUUGUCGUCAGCUCGUGCCGUGAGGUGUCGGCUUAAGUGCCAUAACGAGCGCAACCCUUGUUGUCAGUUACUAACAGGUUCCGCUGAGGACUCUGACAAGACUGCCAUCGUAAGAUGUGAGGAAGGUGGGGAUGACGUCAAAUCAGCACGGCCCUUACGUCCGGGGCUACACACGUGUUACAAUGGGGGGUACAGAGGGCCGCUACCACGCGAGUGGAUGCCAAUCCCCAAAACCUCUCUCAGUUCGGACUGGAGUCUGCAACCCGACUCCACGAAGCUGGAUUCGCUAGUAAUCGCGCAUCAGCCACGGCGCGGUGAAUACGUUCCCGGGCCUUGUACACACCGCC